UUAAGUGACUAAGCGUACAAGGUGGAUGCCUUGGCAAUCAGAGGCGAGGAAGGACGUGCUAAUCUGCGAAAAGCUUGGAUGAGUCGAUAAGAGGCGUUUAAUCCAAGAUGUCCGAAUGGGGAAACCCAGUAGAUGAAGAAUCUACUAUCACUUACUGAAUCCAUAGGUAAGUGAGGCAAACCGGGAGAACUGAAACAUCUAAGUACCCCGAGGAAAAGAAAUCAACCGAGAUUUCGUUAGUAGCGGCGAGCGAACGCGAAGGAGCCUGUUAGUGAUAAUGACAGAGACAGAGGAACAAGCUGGGAAGCUUGGCGAUACAGGGUGAUAGCCCCGUACUCGAAGUCCAGGUCAUGGUACUAAGCUAACGACAAGUAGGGCGGGACACGUGAUAUCCUGUUUGAAGAUGGGGGGACCAUCCUCCAAGGCUAAAUACUCCUGAUUGACCGAUAGUGAACCAGUACUGUGAAGGAAAGGCGAAAAGAACCCCGGUGAGGGGAGUGAAAUAGAACCUGAAACCUUGUACGUACAAGCAGUGGGAGCCCUUUAAGGGUGACUGCGUACCUUUUGUAUAAUGGGUCAGCGACUUAUAUUUUGUAGCGAGGUUAACCGAAUAGGGGAGCCGAAGGGAAACCGAGUCUUAACUGGGCGUCUAGUUGCAAGGUAUAGACCCGAAACCCGGUGAUCUAGCCAUGGGCAGGUUGAAGGUUGGGUAACACUAACUGGAGGACCGAACCGACUAAUGUUGAAAAAUUAGCGGAUGACUUGUGGCUGGGGGUGAAAGGCCAAUCAAACCGGGAGAUAGCUGGUUCUCCCCGAAAGCUAUUUAGGUAGCGCCUCGUGAAUUCAUCUCCGGGGGUAGAGCACUGUUUCGGCAAGGGGGUCAUCCCGACUUACCAACCCGAUGCAAACUGCGAAUACCGGAGAAUGUUAUCACGGGAGACACACGGCGGGUGCUAACGUCCGUCGUGAAGAGGGAAACAACCCAGACCGCCAGCUAAGGUCCCAAAGUCAUGGUUAAGUGGGAAACGAUGUGGGAAGGCCCAGACAGCCAGGAUGUUGGCUUAGAAGCAGCCAUCAUUUAAAGAAAGCGUAAUAGCUCACUGGUCGAGUCGGCCUGCGCGGAAGAUGUAACGGGGCUAAACCAUGCACCGAAGCUGCGGCAGCGACGCUGAUGCGUUGUUGGGUAGGGGAGCGUUCUGUAAGCCUGCGAAGGUGUGCUGUGAGGCAUGCUGGAGGUAUCAGAAGUGCGAAUGCUGACAUAAGUAACGAUAAAGCGGGUGAAAAGCCCGCUCGCCGGAAGACCAAGGGUUCCUGUCCAACGUUAAUCGGGGCAGGGUGAGUCGACCCCUAAGGCGAGGCCGAAAGGCGUAGUCGAUGGGAAACAGGUUAAUAUUCCUGUACUUGGUGUUACUGCGAAGGGGGGACGGAGAAGGCUAUGUUGGCCGGGCGACGGUUGUCCCGGUUUAAGCGUGUAGGCUGGUUUUCCAGGCAAAUCCGGAAAAUCAAGGCUGAGGCGUGAUGACGAGGCACUACGGUGCUGAAGCAACAAAUGCCCUGCUUCCAGGAAAAGCCUCUAAGCAUCAGGUAACAUCAAAUCGUACCCCAAACCGACACAGGUGGUCAGGUAGAGAAUACCAAGGCGCUUGAGAGAACUCGGGUGAAGGAACUAGGCAAAAUGGUGCCGUAACUUCGGGAGAAGGCACGCUGAUAUGUAGGUGAAGUCCCUUGCGGAUGGAGCUGAAAUCAGUCGAAGAUACCAGCUGGCUGCAACUGUUUAUUAAAAACACAGCACUGUGCAAACACGAAAGUGGACGUAUACGGUGUGACGCCUGCCCGGUGCCGGAAGGUUAAUUGAUGGGGUCAGCGCAAGCGAAGCUCUUGAUCGAAGCCCCGGUAAACGGCGGCCGUAACUAUAACGGUCCUAAGGUAGCGAAAUUCCUUGUCGGGU
rnacentral:rRNA from 1 species